AUCAUAUGAUUAUUAAAGCUCCGGCGGAUAGGGAUGAGCAUGCGGCUGAUUAGCUAGUUGGUGAGGUAAUGGCUCACCAAGGCAACGAUCAGUAGGGGGUCUGAGAGGAUGUCCCCCCACACUGGUACUGAGACACGGACCAGACUCCUACGGGAGGCAGCAGUAGGGAAUAUUGGUCAAUGGGGGCAACCCUGAACCAGCCAUGCCGCGUGCAGGAAUAAGGCCCUAUGGGUCGUAAACUGCUUUUGUAUGGGAAAAAAUCACGUUACGCGUAAUGUGUUGAUGGUACCAUGAGAAUAAGGAUCGGCUAACUUCGUGCCAGCAGCCGCGGUAAUACGAAGGAUCCAAGCGUUGUCCGGAUUUACUGGGUUUAAAGGGUGCGUAGGCGGAUGUCUAAGUCAGUGGUGAAAGCCGGCAGCUUAACUGUCGAAUUGCCAUUGAAACUGGACGUCUCGAGUGCGGUUGAGGUGACUGGAAUGUAACAUGUAGCGGUGAAAUGCAUAGAUAUGUUACAGAACACCGAUUGCGAAGGCAGGUCACUAAACCGUAACUGACGCUGAGGCACGAAAGCGUGGGGAUCAAACAGG
rnacentral:rRNA from 1 species